rnacentral:rRNA from 1 species
UACAGAGGGUGCGAGCGUUAAUCGGAAUUACUGGGCGUAAAGGGCGCGUAGGCGGCCUUCUAAGUCAGACGUGAAAUCCCCAGGCUUAACUUGGGAACUGCGUCUGAUACUGGAAGGCUUGAGUGCGGGAGAGGGAUGUGGAAUUCCAGGUGUAGCGGUGAAAUGCGUAGAUAUCUGGAGGAACACCGGUGGCGAAGGCGGGUCUCUGGGCCGAUACUGACGCUGAGGAGCGAAAGCGUGGGGAGCGAACAGG